rnacentral:rRNA from 1 species
CCUACGGGAGGCAGCAGUGGGGAAUAUUGGGCAAUGGGCGCAAGCCUGACCCAGCAACGCCGCGUGAAGGAAGAAGGCUUUCGGGUUGUAAACUUCUUUUCUCAGGGACGAAGAAAGUGACGGUACCCGAGGAAUAAGCCACGGCUAACUACGUGCCAGCAGCCGCGGUAAUACGUAGGUGGCAAGCGUUUUCCGGAUUUACUGGGUGUAAAGGGCGUGUAGGCGGGACUGCAAGUCAGAUGUGAAACGCCCGGGGUCAACCCCGGGCCUGCAUUUGAAACUGUAGUUCUGGGGUACUGGAGAGGCAGACGGAAUUCCUAGUGUAGCGGUGAAAUGCGUAGAUAUUAGGAGGAACACCAGUGGCGAAGGCGGUCUGCUGGACAGCAACUGACGCUGAGGCGCGAAAGCGUGGGGAGCAAACAGGAUUAGAUACCCUUGUAGUC